CGACAAGAUGGCGACGGCCAUCCCCUGUGGGCCGGCGGGGAAAGGCCCUCCGCUGGGUCCUGCCCUUGAAGGCCGGCCGGGUGCGCUGCCCCGGCGUCCUCUCAGCGCCGCGGGCUGUGGUUGCAGAGUUCCGUUAUAACUCAUUAGUAAUGGGUUCAUGAUGUAAAAACCUGCCUGCGUAUUAUCAGGUAUCAGAGUUAGGUAAAUCGAAAUGCUCAGUGCUUCCUAAUAAUUAAAUUCAAGUUUAGUACGGCCUUGUAAAAAUAAAUUCGAUUUCUUUUGGACUGCUAAUUAAAGCCUUGAAGCAGGCUGGAGCGCUGGAAGUCCUUCCUCUGUUUGUGCAUGGAUGUACGUUGAAGCAGACGGACACCACCUUACAUCCUUGGGUGUUAGUGCCCCCUCCAAAGGCAUCUGUCUCCCACGAGCAGCGAGGGAUUCCUGCUGACUGUCGUGGCUUGGUGGUAGGCUCUAAUAAGACUGCAGGUGAAGCGCAAUCUGUGGAGUCAUCUUGCUGUCUGUCAGGUGCUCCUGCCCUGCAGAGAGCUGCAAAAAGAUAUUUGCUGAAUCACCCUGGCUUGAUUUAACACGCAGUCUAGCAUAAGGAGAGCUUGGAGAACCUACACUGAGCGCAGGGCUGUGGCAGAACUGCUGAACAGAUGCACUAGGCGCUCCUGUUUAGGCUGAGGUCUGCAACUGGCAUUGCAGUGUCUGCGUCUCCUGCCCUUGGAAAAUAUUGAGGCUUGUCAACUUGCAGAUGCUCCAUGAAGCAGAUAUUUUCCUUGCUGACAAUGCUGACUUCCAAGGACAGCUGAAACACACAAGGAAGAGAAAAAUCAUAACUGGACAAACGAUUUGAGUAUCAGAAGAAGAGUUUGAGUAUGGGAAGAUUUUGAGGGCUUUGCUGAAGAGAAAAGGCAUCUCUGAAAAGAACUAGAUGGCAAAACACUACAAAGCAGAGAGAGUAAGUAGCAGUGUGGAAGAACAAGCAUCACCCAGGAAACUGAAGGUGAGCCCAAAGAGGAGAGGAUUUCAAAGUCUCUGAUUCUUACGAUAUCUCUAAGAAGAAUCCCACUGAUUUUAAGAGACUUGAUUGUGUACAGAGAUAAUUCAAAGACAGGAAUGCUGUUUCUGCUGUACCAGAAAAUAAAGAUGACUUCAGCAGCGCUGAUAUUUCAGAUAAACUAAGGUGACUGGAAAGAAUCUUUAAAACAAUCAAAAAUCAAACAAAACACAGGAAACAUAAGCUAAAUACUGUUAUACUUAGAGUAAGAUAUUAAUCAGGCAAUAAAUGCAGCAGAGACCCUUAUUUGAGCUUUGGGGACAUGAGUAACUAUGGAGUAAAAAAAUUUAGGAAGUAAGCACUGUGUGCACGUGGGAAGAAAGGAAACACAGAAUUUUCAGAAAAUACUAAGUCUGAAGUGCUCCUAAGAUCUAUGCAAGGAGAGUUGUCCCAGAAACAAAGUGAAGCAACUAGGAGGGAAAAACAGCAUUUUAAAUGAAUUGUUCUACAUUGAUGUAGUGGAUGAAUCAUGGGAUUGGAUGAGAUUCUACUACGAACGCAGCAGGUGGAGAAAAACAGUGACGGGGGAGGUGAGGAUGGUAACAGAGACAUCCUAAGAAAAGUAGAAUCCAUGACAGCAAUGGAUUAAUGAAUUUUCUCCAUGGUCACGUGCUAGGUAGCUUUGGCCAUAUUUCUGGAGCAACCAGAGCCAAGUUACCAGUACCGCUCCUUACGGCAGGAUGGAGGAGGGGAGCAGAACCGUGGCUGUUUCCAUCAGUUCUGACAGAGUUGGGGAGUUUGUACAAGUGUAGCCCUUGCCUCAAAACAAGUAAAUAAUACUGCAAGAAUAGCUAUCUACAAAGUUGCAAGACACUACAUUGGGUACCUUCAUGAUCUUCAAAUCGAACGCCGAGUUCAGGAAGGAUGUCAUCUCGAAGAGCAUCACUCAACUGCAGCACUUCAGUUACUAUGGAGCAUGAAAAAUACUUUUGCUGAAGUACAAUUUGGUGGAAGUACACAUCUAUCCUGAUACACACUUAUUUAACUGCAAUUAAGAAAUUGCCACUCUCUCACACAGGCCAGAGAAGGGCCUUUUGUUUUAAAGCAAUAAAUGUUUUUAAGUAAAUUCUCUCUUCUUUUAGCUACAGAAAACAUGUUUCUUUGCAAGGACUCCGAAUUCAUAAAUUUCUUCCAAGAUACCCCUAUUAGUCCUAAAAAUGGUCAUGAGAGUUUCAGUUCAGUACCAUAAAAAAAAAUAAAAAAUGAAUUUAU